UACGCGAAGUGAGGUCAAUGGACGCAAAAAUGUAGGUUCAAUGGUAGUGAGAAGGUUGCUGCUAAGAUCUCUGCACGAAAAUUCAAAACAUCGCAACAGGCAUCCAAAUUAAGGAUAACUUUCAUCCAAAAUGAUCACAGUUACUCACAAAGUCGAUAGUUGGUUGGUUGAUGGAAAAGCCUCCGAAGGAAGAGAUCUUAAGAAGUUCUUAUUCAUCCUCCUGUUAACAAAGUGAAAAGAAACUCGUCUAAGAUGCAGCAACUUGUUUCUUAUGUUUUAAAUGGACUUACAGGAGCUUCGUUUCUUUGGGUAUAUCAGAAGGUCUUGAGUUGUAAAGCAGCUUAAAUCCUUGUCUCUCCACGUUGCUGUCACUUUUAAACACGACAAUCAUGACGUUC